GACGAACGCUGGCGGCGUGCUUAACACAUGCAAGUCGAACGGUAAGGCCCUUCGGGGUACACGAGUGGCGAACGGGUGAGUAACACGUGGGUGAUCUGCCCUGCACUUCGGGAUAAGCCUGGGAAACUGGGUCUAAUACCGGAUAGGACCACUGCCUGCAUGGGUGGUGGUGGAAAGCUUUUGCGGUGUGGGAUGGGCCCGCGGCCUAUCAGCUUGUUGGUGGGGUGAUGGCCUACCAAGGCGACGACGGGUAGCCGGCCUGAGAGGGUGACCGGCCAUACUGGGACUGAGAUACGGCCCAGACUCCUACAGGAGGCAGCAGUGGGGAAUAUUGCACAAUGGGCGCAAGCCUGAUGCAGCGACGCCGCGUGAGGGAUGACGGCCUUCGGGUUGUAAACCUCUUUCAGCACCGACGAAGCGCAAGUGACGGUAGGUGCAGAAGAAGGACCGGCCAACUACGUGCCAGCCGCCGCAGUAA
rnacentral:rRNA from 1 species